rnacentral:lncRNA from 1 species
UAAAAAUGCAAACACAAUUCUGCUCACUGGUGUAUGUUUUUCUUCACCAGGAAAUUAUCUCAUUCAAAGCUAGUGCAACUUUAUGGAGUCUGUAUACAGCGGAAGCCCCUUUACAUUGUGACAGAGUUCAUGGAAAAUGGCUGCCUGCUUAACUAUCUCAGGGAGAAUAAAGGAAAGCUUAGGAAGGAAAUGCUACUGAGUGUAUGCCAGGAUAUAUGUGAAGGAAUGGAAUAUCUGGAGAGGAAUGGCUAUAUUCAUAGGGAUUUGGAGUUUUAAUGUGGGAAGUUUUUACAGAAGGAAAAAUGCCUUUUGAAAAUAAGUCAAAUUUGCAAGUCGUGGAAGCUAUUUCUGAAGGCUUCAGGCUAUAUCGCCCUCACCUGGCACCAAUGUCCAUAUAUGAAGUCAUGUACAGCUGCUGGCAUGAGAAACCUGAAGGCCGCCCUACAUUUGCCGAGCUGCUGCGGGCUGUCACAGAGAUUGCGGAAACCUGGUGACCGGAAACAGAAUGCCAACCCAAAGAGUCAUCUUGCAAAACUGUCAUUUAUUGUGAAUAUCUUCACCAUAUGGGGUCACUUAUGGUGAAUAUCUUUCUUCAGAGUUGCUGACUCUUGAAAACAGUGCAAAGAUCACAGUUUUUAAAAGUUUUAAAAAUUUAAGAAUAUUCACACAAUCGUUUUUCUAUGUGUGAGAGGGAUUUGCACACUCUUAUUUUUCUGUAAAAUAUUUCACAUCCCAAAUGUGAA